rnacentral:rRNA from 1 species
AACGAACGCUGGCGGCAGGCCUAACACAUGCAAGUCGAACGCUGCAGCAAUGCAGAGUGGCAGACGGGUGAGUAACGCGUGGGAACCUUCCCAAUGGUACGGAAUAGCCCAGGGAAACUUGGGGUAAUACCGUAUAAGCCCCAUGGGGGAAAGUUUUAUCGCCAUUGGAUGGGCCCGCGUCGGAUUAGCUAGUUGGUGAGGUAACGGCUCACCAAGGCGACGAUCCGUAGCUGGUUUGAGAGAAUGACCAGCCACACUGGGACUGAGAAACGGCCCAGACUCCUACGGGAGGCAGCAGUGGGGAAUCUUGGACAAUGGGCGAAAGCCUGAUCCAGCCAUGCCGCGUGAGUGACGAAGGCCUUAGGGUUGUAAAGCUCUUUUGGCGGGGACGAUAAUGACGGUACCCGCAGAAUAAGUCCCGGCUAACUUCGUGCCAGCCGCCGCCGUAAAAC